UCCUUCCUUCGGUGGACAAAAGGGGACACGUGCUAACCUGACAUGCAGGCCAAUCUUGCAAACUCAGAGACCUAGAGUAACCACAAAGGAUGGUCUGAGAUGAAACUUUAACUAAAAGCAGUUAUGGUGGGCAGUUACAUCCUAGGCCGGUAUCUUCCCUGACAAGACCCUUCAGGGCACAACCUAAUGUGCCUGGACGCCAGGACAGAGACCACAGAUUCCUUCAUUCUAUCAUGCUCAUGGUUGACUGUUGGCGAUCCUGCACCCACCUAAGUAUGUGUCUAUCAUUUUACUGUUUAUCCAAUCCAAGGGGUUUCACCGUUUGCUUUCUCCCGCCUCUCUAGUCUAUCACCGAUGGAUUUCAUGUAACCCACCUACAUCCCCUCCUUUGAUUGCAACGUAUAAAAAUAGAUUAAAAAUGCAUUCUCUGGAGCAUUACCCCAAUCUGUUGAAAUUUUGCUUCCUGGCAAUUGUUGUCAGUUUGGCUCAUAUAAACUCACAAAAAUUCUUUACA